rnacentral:tRNA from 1 species
GGAGUUGUGGCUCAGUGGUAGAGCGCUUGCCUUGCAUGUGUGAGGCACUAGGUUUGAUCCCCAGCACCA